rnacentral:rRNA from 1 species
UGGGGAAUAUUGGACAAUGGGCGCAAGCCUGAUCCAGCCAUGCCGCGUGAGUGACGAAGGCCUUAGGGUUGUAAAGCUCUUUUGGCGGGGAAGAUAAUGACGGUACCCGCAGAAUAAGCUCCGGCUAACUUCGUGCCAGCAGCCGCGGUAAUACGAAGGGAGCUAGCGUUGUUCGGAAUCACUGGGCGUAAAGCGCACGUAGGUGGGCAGUUAAGUCAGGGGUGAAAGCCCGAGGCUCAACCUCGGAAUUGCCUCUGAUACUGGCUGUCUAGAGUUCGAGAGAGGUGAGUGGAAUUCCUAGUGUAGAGGUGAAAUUCGUAGAUAUUAGGAAGAACACCGGUGGCGAAGGCGGCUCACUGGCUCGAUACUGACACUGAGGUGCGAAAGCGUGGGAGCAAACAGGAUUAGAUACCCGAGUAGUCCCUGAGCGGGCUGGCAAGGCGCAU